GACGAACGCUGGCGGUGUGCUUAACACAUGCAAGUCGAACGGUACGGCCCUUUCGGGGGUACACGAGUGGCGAACGGGUGAGUAACACGUGAGUAACCUGCCAUCAUCUCUGGGAUAACAGUCGGAAACGGUUGCUAAUACUGGAUAUGAGCCUGCCAGGCAUCUUGUGGGUUGGACAGAUUUUUUGGUUGGGGAUGGACUCGCGGCCUAUCCGCUUGUUGGUGAGGUAGUGGCUCACCAAGGCUUCGACGGGUAGCCGGCCUGAGAGGGCGACCGGCCACAGUGGGACUGGGAUACGGCCCAAACUCCGACGGGAGGCAGCAGGGGGGAAGAUUGCACAAUGGACGGAAGUCUGAUGCAGCAACGCCGCGGGCGGGAUGACGGCCUUCGGGUUGUAAACCGCUUGCAAUUGUGACGAAGCUUUUUGUGACGGUAGCAGUAGAAGAAGCACCGGCUAACUACGUG
rnacentral:rRNA from 1 species